rfam:Cajanus cajan chromosome 11, whole genome shotgun sequence.
AUACCUUUCUCGGCCUUUUGGCUAAGAUCAAGUGUAGUAUCUGUUCUUAUCAGUUUAAUAUCUGAUAUGUGGACCAUCGGUUCAUACGAUAUUAAAUUAUUUUUUUGAAGGGGAGAGUCCAUUACAGUAGCUUGCUACUGGGUCUUUCGGGUGUCGCCCUUGUGUUGCACUACUGCUUGGGCCUGGCACACCCUCU